AUUGAACGCUGGCGGCAUGCCUUACACAUGCAAGUCGAACGGCAGCACGGGUGCUUGCACCUGGUGGCGAGUGGCGAACGGGUGAGUAAUACAUCGGAACGUACCUUAUCGUGGGGGAUAACGCAGCGAAAGCUGUGCUAAUACCGCAUACGCCCUGAGGGGGAAAGCGGGGGAUCGCAAGACCCCGCGCGAUUAGAGCGGCCGAUGCCUGAUUAGCUUGUUGGUGGGGUAAAAGCCCACCAAGGCGACGAUCAGUAGCUGGUCUGAGAGGACGAUCAGCCACACUGGGACUGAGACACGGCCCAGACUCCUACGGGAGGCAGCAGUGGGGAAUUUUGGACAAUGGGGGCAACCCUGAUCCAGCAAUGCCGCGUGAGUGAAGAAGGCCUUCGGGUUGUAAAGCUCUUUUGUCAGGGAAGAAACACCGGCUCUAACACAGUCCGGGAAUGACGGUACCUGAAGAAUCAGCACCGGCUAACUACGUGCCAGCAGCCGCAGUAA
rnacentral:rRNA from 1 species